ncrna:unclassified sequences Glutamine-II riboswitch (downstream peptide RNA)
GUACGUUCAUCCCUUCAGGGACGCAUAACUUGCCUGGCAUGGAACGGGGCCAGGG